rnacentral:rRNA from 1 species
GGAUUAGAUACCCUGGUAGUCCACGCUGUAAACGAUGGGUACUAGGUGUUGCGGGAAUUGACCCCUGCAGUGCCGUAGCUAACGCAUUAAGUACCCCGCCUGGGAAGUACGGUCGCAAGAUUAAAACUCAAAGGAAUUGACGGGGGCCCGCACAAGCGGUGGAGCAUGUGGUUUAAUUCGAUGCAACGCGAAAAACCUUACCUGGGUUAGAAGACGUCGGACAGUCCUAGAGAUAGGAUCUCCUCUUCGGAGGCCGACGGUUAGGUGCUGCAUGGCUGUCGUCAGCUCGUGCCG